rnacentral:rRNA from 1 species
GUGGGGUAGUGGCCUACCAAGGCGACGACGGGUAGCCGGCCUGAGAGGGUGACCGGCCACACUGGGACUGAGACACGGCCCAGACUCCUACGGGAGGCAGCAGUGGGGAAUAUUGCGCAAUGGGCGGAAGCCUGACGCAGCGACGCCGCGUGGGGGAUGACGGCCUUCGGGUUGUAAACCUCUUUCAGCAGGGACGAAGCCGCGAGGUGACGGUACCUGCAGAAGAAGCACCGGCCAACUACGUGCCAGCAGCCGCGGUAAUACGUAGGGUGCAAGCGUUGUCCGGAAUUAUUGGGCGUAAAGAGCUCGUAGGCGGUUGGUCGCGUCGGCUGUGAAAACCCGGAGCUCAACUCCGGGCCUGCAGUCGAUACGGGCCGACUCGAGUGUUGCAGGGGAGACUGGAAUUCCUGGUGUAGCGGUGAAAUGCGCAGAUAUCAGGAGGAACACCGGUGGCGAAGGCGGGUCUCUGGGCAACAACUGACGCUGAGGAGCGAAAGCGUGGGGAGCGAACAGGAUUAGAUACCCUGGUAGUCCACGCCGUAAACGUUGGGCGCUAGGUGUGGGGGCCAUUCCACGGUCUCCGUGCCGCAGCUAACGCAUUAAGCG